AUUGAACGCUGGCGGCAGGCCUAACACAUGCAAGUCGAACGGUAACAGAAAGCAGCUUGCUGCUUUGCUGACGAGUGGCGGACGGGUGAGAAACGUCUGGGAAACAGCCAGAUGGAGGGGGAUAACUACUGGAAACGGUAGCUAAUACCGCAUAACGUUGCAAGACCAAAGUUGGGGAGCUUCGGGCCUCUUGCCUUCGGCUGAGCCAUGAUGGGAUUAGCUAGUAGGUGGGGUAACGGCUCACCUAGGCGACGAUCCCUAGCUGGUCUGAGAGGAUGACCAGCCACACUGGAACUGAGACACGGUCCAGACUCCUACGGGAGGCAGCAGUAGGGAAUAUUGCACAAUGGGCGCAAGCCUGAUGGAGCCAUGCCGCGUGUAUGAUGAAGGCCUUCGGGUCGUAAAGUACUUUCAGCGGGGAGGAAGGAAGGAAAGUUAAUACCUUUGCUCAUUGACGUUACCCGCAGAAGAAGCACCGGCUAACUACGUG
rnacentral:rRNA from 1 species